rnacentral:rRNA from 1 species
UACGGAGGAUGCGAGCGUUAUCCGGAUUUAUUGGGUUUAAAGGGUGCGUAGGCGGCUUUUUAAGUCAGCGGUGAAAUUUUGUCAGCUUAACUGUAACAAGUGCCGUUGAUACUGGGGAGCUAGGAUUUGGUUGCUGUGGGUGGAAUGUGUGGUGUAGCGGUGAAAUGCUUAGAGAUCACACAGAAUAUCGAUUGCGAAGGCAGCUCACAGAGCCAAGAUUGACGCUGAGGCACGAAAGUGUGGGGAUCAAACAGGA